rnacentral:tRNA from 1 species
GCCCGGAUGGCACAGCGGUUACUGCGCGGGAUUGCUAAUCCCGUUUCGCGCAAGCGAUUCCCAAGUUCAAAUCUUGGUCCGGGCG